rnacentral:rRNA from 1 species
UACGAAGGGGGCUAGCGUUGUUCGGAAUCACUGGGCGUAAAGCGCACGUAGGCGGAUCGUUAAGUCAGAGGUGAAAUCCCGGAGCUCAACUUCGGAACUGCCUUUGAUACUGGCGAUCUUGAGUUUGGAAGAGGUUGGUGGAACUGCGAGUGUAGAGGUGAAAUUCGUAGAUAUUCGGAGGAACACCAGUGGCGAAGGCGGCUCACUGGCUCGAUACUGACGCUGAGGUGCGAAAGCGUGGGGAGCAAACAGG